rnacentral:rRNA from 1 species
UCCUGACUGACCGAUAGUGAACCAGUACCGUGAGGGAAAGGCGAAAAGAACCCCGGCGAGGGGAGUGAAAAAGAACCUGAAACCGUGUACGUACAAGCAGUGGGAGCACGCUUAGGCGUGUGACUGCGUACCUUUUGUAUAAUGGGUCAGCGACUUAUAUUCUGUAGCAAGGUUAACCGAAUAGGGGAGCCGAAGGGAAACCGAGUCUUAACUGGGCGUUAAGUUGCAGGGUAUAGACCCGAAACCCGGUGAUCUAGCCAUGGGCAGGUUGAAGGUUGGGUAACACUAACUGGAGGACCGAACCGACUAAUGUUGAAAAAUUAGCGGAUGACUUGUGGCUGGGGGUGAAAGGCCAAUCAAACCGGGAGAUAGCUGGUUCUCCCCGAAAGCUAUUUAGGUAGCGCCUCGUGAAUUCAUCUCCGGGGGUAGAGCACUGUUUCGGCAAGGGGGUCAUCCCGACUUACCAACCCGAUGCAAACUGCGAAUACCGGAGAAUGUUAUCACGGGAGACACACGGCGGGUGCUAACGUCCGUCGUGAAGAGGGAAACAACCCAGACCGCCAGCUAAGGUCCCAAAGUCAUGGUUAAGUGGGAAACGAUGUGGGAAGGCCCAGACAGCCAGGAUGUUGGCUUAGAAGCAGCCAUCAUUUAAAGAAAGCGUAAUAGCUCACUGGUCGAGUCGGCCUGCGCGGAAGAUGUAACGGGGCUAAACCAUGCACCGAAGCUGCGGCAGCGAUGCUUAUGCGUUGUUGGGUAGGGGAGCGUUCUGUAAGCCUGCGAAGGUGUGCUGUGAGGCAUGCUGGAGGUAUCAGAAGUGCGAAUGCUGACAUAAGUAACGAUAAAGCGGGUGAAAAGCCCGCUCGCCGGAAGACCAAGGGUUCCUGUCCAACGUUAAUCGGGGCAGGGUGAGUCGACCCCUAAGGCGAGGCCGAAAGGCGUAGUCGAUGGGAAACAGGUUAAU